AAGUCGUAACAAGGUUUCCGUAGGUGAACCUGCGGAAGGAUCAUUAAUGCAAAGAUACGCAAUUCCCUUUGCCGGGAACGGCUAUCGAUAUACCCUCACCAAACGCUCGGCUUCUUGUGUUGCCCACCAGCGACAAAAAAGGCUCGACGUCACAAGCAACCUGAGAAACGAUUUUCCUUUUUGGGAAAAUUUGUUCUCUAUUCCUCUUUUUUACCAUCAUUACACCCUUCUUUUAAACUAGUAGACUGAUAUGAAAAAAUGUUGUGACAUACAUUUCACACCAAAAAAAAAUGUAAAGAACAACUCUUAGCAAUGGAUAUCUAGGCUCUC
rnacentral:misc_RNA from 1 species